rnacentral:lncRNA from 1 species
CUGUCAGAGAGGGCUCGAUUUCCUAUAUUCUGACCACGUUUCCUUACCUCUGGUUCUCUUGUUAGCUGCUGGAGGAGGGCACUCCAAAGCUGAAGCGGAACAUGGCUGCUGGUGAGCAUUCUUGGCAGACAGUGCGGAGGCUCACUAGAACCCGCAGACAGACCCCACCAUGUCGACGUUUCUGUUUCAACUGGAGAACCUUUUUAGAUCCAGUCAAAAAAAAUUAAAGUUCCUCUGCUUGAAAAACGCCUGCAAAAUUCCAUCAUACCUUUGCAGAGACUUGUUUGGGUGGCUAAGGGAGAAGGUUCCAGCCCCUCAGGAGCUAAGAUGUACAUUCAAGGAGUUCUAUUGGCCUUGCACCAACGAUUAAAGUCUGCAAAAAACUAUUGUAAACAGGUUCCACAUAAAAGCACCAAUACCCCCAAAUCUACAGCUGUUCUCCAAACCUUUAGAUGCCCAUUGAAUGCCAGAAGGUCUGCUGGGGGAAGAGCUGCUAAGCUGACUGUGGCUGUGGUGGAGAAACUGGAUGAGAAACAUCCUAAGGCCUCUGCUCAAAGGUGGGCCAUCAAUCAUGGAGGGACAACAAGCCAAACCAGUGGGAGCAUUCCAGAGUUGGGGAUCCCUUAUGGAAUAAGCUUACAUAUAUGUGAGCAGUCCUUAGUCAACGGAGAACUCGAUGAGAAAUGUUGACCCUGAAAGGAAGUACAACGUGGAAGGUGUUGCCAGUGAGAACUAUGAAAUAGAAACAAACCCAGUGGAAUUCUGGCACUUUCUAGAGAGGCAAAUGUGUAAACAUUUGUGACACUAAAUGAAGCUGUCUUUUCCUGAUCUAAAACAAGUGCCUCUGUGUGUGUGUGUGUGUG